AGUGAACGCUGGCGGUAGGCCUAACACAUGCAAGUCGAACGGCAGCACAGUAAGAGCUUGCUCUUACGGGUGGCGAGUGGCGGACGGGUGAGGAAUACAUCGGAAUCUACUUUUUCGUGGGGGAUAACGUAGGGAAACUUACGCUAAUACCGCAUACGACCUACGGGUGAAAGCAGGGGAUCUUCGGACCUUGCGCGAUUGAAUGAGCCGAUGUCGGAUUAGCUAGUUGGCGGGGUAAAGGCCCACCAAGGCGACGAUCCGUGGCUGGUCUGAGAGGAUGAUUGGCCACCCUGGAACUGAGACACGGUCCCGACUCCUACGGGAGGCAGCAGUGGGGAAUAUUGGACAAUGGGCGCAAGCCUGAUCCAGCCAUACCGCGUGGGUGAAGAAGGCCUUCGGGUUGUAAAGCCCUUUUGUUGGGAAAGAAAAGCAGCAGGUUAAUACCCCGCUGUUCUGACGGUACCCAAAGAAUAAGCACCGGCUAACUUCGUG
rnacentral:rRNA from 1 species